CCUAUGUUUGGAAAACCCAUAUAAUAUAUAUUAUAUAUUUUUUUAAAGCAAAUAAAUUUCCCAUUUAUAUCAAUGCUCUUAAAAUAUGAGGGAAUUCUGAUUUUAAAGUUUCCAUUGUCGUCCCAUUGGGACUAUAUAUUAUACAAGUUGACAUGUGAACACAAUCAUUCCAUGCAUCAUUACUUAUGUGGCGUUUUUCCUCAUUUGUAUAAAAUGUUUAACUUUACACUAAAGGACAAUAUAUUGGAAUAUUUAUAAUAUUUAACAUUGUCGACGAGAAGCAAAAGAAAAAAAAUCCUGCAUUUUAAUUUUUCAAGUGCAAUCAUAAAAAUAUGAUCAGUUUGUACCCAUAUAUAGUA